rnacentral:rRNA from 1 species
GCGUUGGUUGUCCAAGUUUAAGGUGGUAGGCUGAAAUCUUAGGUAAAUCCGGGGUUUCAAGGCCGAGAGCUGAUGACGAGUCGUCUUUUAGAUGACGAAGUGGUUGAUGCCAUGCUUCCAAGAAAAGCUUCUAAGCUUCAGGUAACCAGGAACCGUACCCCAAACCGACACAGGUGGUCGGGUAGAGAAUACCAAGGCGCUUGAGAGAACUCGGGUGAAGGAACUAGGCAAAAUGGCACCGUAACUUCGGGAGAAGGUGCGCCGGCUAGGGUGAAGGAUUUACUCCGUAAGCUCGGGCUGGUCGAAGAUACCAGGCCGCUGCGACUGUUUAUUAAAAACACAGCACUCUGCAAACACGAAAGUGGACGUAUAGGGUGUGACGCCUCCCCGGUGCCGGAAGGUUAAUUGAUGGGGUUAGCGCAAGCGAAGCUCUUGAUCGAAGCCCCGGUAAACGGCGGCCGUAACGAUAACGGUCCUAAGGUAGCGAAAUUCCUUGUCGGGUAAGUUCCGACCUGCACGAAUGGCGUAACGAUGGCGGCGCUGUCUCCACCCGAGACUCAGUGAAAUUGAAAUCGCUGUGAAGAUGCAGUGUAUCCGCGGCUAGACGGAAAGACCCCGUGAACCUUUACUGUAGCUUUGCACUGGACUUUGAGCCUGCUUGUGUAGGAUAGGUGGGAGGCUUUGAAGCGUGGACGCCAGUUCGCGUGGAGCCAUCCUCGAAAUACCACCCUGGCAUGCUUGAGGUUCUAACUCUGGUCCGUAAUCCGGAUCGAGGACAGUGUAUGGUGGGCAGUUUGACUGGGGCGGUCUCCUCCUAAAGAGUAACGGAGGAGUACGAAGGUGCGCUCAGACCGGUCGGAAAUCGGUCGCAGAGUAUAAAGGCAAAAGCGCGCUUGACUGCGAGACAGACACGUCGAGCAGGUACGAAAGUAGGUCUUAGUGAUCCGGUGGUUCUGUAUGGAAGGGCCAUCGCUCAACGGAUAAAAGGUACUCCGGGGAUAACAGGCUGAUACCGCCCAAGAGUUCAUAUCGACGGCGGUGUUUGGCACCUCGAUGUCGGCUCAUCACAUCCUGGGGCUGAAGCCGGUCCCAAGGGUAUGGCUGUUCGCCAUUUAAAGUGGUACGCGAGCUGGGUUUAGAACGUCGUGAGACAGUUCGGUCCCUAUCUGCCGUGGACGUUUGAGAUUUGAGAGGGGCUGCUCCUAGUACGAGAGGACCGGAGUGGACGAACCUCUGGUGUUCCGGUUGUCACGCCAGUGGCAUUGCCGGGUAGCUAUGUUCGGAAAAGAUAACCGCUGAAAGCAUCUAAGCGGGAAACUUGCCUCAAGAUGAGAUCUCACUGGGAACUUGAUUCCCCUGAAGGGCCGUCGAAGACUACGACGUUGAUAGGCUGGGUGUGUAAGCGUUGUGAGGCGUUGAGCUAACCAGUACUAAUUGCCCGUGAGG